CUCUCUCUCUCUCUCCCUUUCUCUCUCUCUCUGAUACUCUGGAUUGCCCCUGGUGCUAGCAUGAUGGGGCACUGAAGGUUCAGUUGGAUUCUCGAAGAAAAGAAAGGCAGCGAGGCGGCGAGGCAAAGACCUGAAGUGUGGGAAGGGGAUAGAUGCAGAAACUGGGUCAGCAAGACAGAAAAAAACCUGAGUCCUUUACCAGGAACCGGGAAGCGCAUAGACAUCUGAGGACAAAGCUCUGGGCACUGGAGAUCAUAUAGGUGAAUGAGCAACCUGGGAAGAUAAUUUGCCUCCCUAAUCUUCUGGUGCUGAGGCUACAGACCACCCAUCUCGGAGGGCGAUUAUGUCUUCAACAAAGGCAAGAUCAGGCUCUGAAGAG